rnacentral:rRNA from 1 species
UAGGGAAUCUUCCGCAAUGGACGAAAGUCUGACGGAGCAACGCCGCGUGAGUGAAGAAGGAUUUCGGUUCGUAAAACUCUGUUGUUAGGGAAGAAAAAAUGUAUAGUAACUAUAUACAAAAGAGACGGUACCUAACCAGAAAGCCACGGCUAACUACGUGCCAGCAGCCGCGGUAAUACGUAGGUGGCAAGCGUUGUCCGGAAUUAUUGGGCGUAAAGCGCGCGCAGGUGGUUUAGAAAGUCUGAUGUGAAAGCCCACGGCUCAACCGUGGAGGGUCAUUGGAAACUAAUAAACUUGAGUGCAGGAGAGAAAAGUGGAAUUCCUAGUGUAGCGGUGAGAUGCGUAGAGAUUAGGAGGAACACCGGUGGCGAAAGCGGCUUUUUGGCCUGCAACUGACACUGAGGCGCGAAAGCGUGGGGAGCAAACAGG